UAGGGAAUCUUCGGCAAUGGACGAAAGUCUGACCGAGCAACGCCGCGUGAGUGAAGAAGGUUUUCGGAUCGUAAAGCUCUGUUGUAAGAGAAGAACGAGUGUGAGAGUGGAAAGUUCACACUGUGACGGUAUCUUACCAGAAAGGGACGGCUAACUACGUGCCAGCAGCCGCGGUAAUACGCAGGUCCCAAGCGUUGUCCGGAUUUAUUGGGCGUAAAGCGAGCGCAGGCGGUUAGAUAAGUCUGAAGUUAAAGGCUGUGGCUUAACCAUAGUACGCUUUGGAAACUGUUUAACUUGAGUGCAAGAGGGGAGAGUGGAAUUCCAUGUGUAGCGGUGAAAUGCGUAGAUAUAUGGAGGAACACCGGUGGCGAAAGCGGCUCUCUGGCUUGUAACUGACGCUGAGGCUCGAAAGCGUGGGGAGCAAACAGGAUUAGAUACCCUGGUAGUCCACGCCGUAAACGAUGAGCGCUAGGUGUUAGACCCUUUCCGGGGUUUAGUGCCGCAGCUAACGCAUUAAGCACUCCGCCUGGGGAGUACGACCGCAAGGUUG
rnacentral:rRNA from 1 species